UCACCUGAUUUAAGCCUUUCUUCUGCCAAGGUCACCAGCACCUCUGGUGGGCGAGAGAUGUGAUCACUUAUUCCGUGUCCCAACCAGGGACCCGUAAGAUUUCUCACCCACUCUGACAGCCUCCGAGCAAGGUCCCUGCUGGGCAACACUGAUGAAGUCCGUGCCGCG
rnacentral:lncRNA from 1 species